rnacentral:rRNA from 1 species
AACGAACGCUGGCGGCAGGCUUAACACAUGCAAGUCGAGCGCCCCGCAAGGGGAGCGGCAGACGGGUGAGUAACGCGUGGGAACGUACCUUUUGCUACGGAAUAACUCAGGGAAACUUGUGCUAAUACCGUAUGUGCCCUUCGGGGGAAAGAUUUAUCGGCAAAGGAUCGGCCCGCGUUGGAUUAGCUAGUUGGUGAGGUAAAGGCUCACCAAGGCGACGAUCCAUAGCUGGUCUGAGAGGAUGAUCAGCCACACUGGGACUGAGACACGGCCCAGACUCCUACGGGAGGCAGCAGUGGGGAAUAUUGGACAAUGGGCGCAAGCCUGAUCCAGCCAUGCCGCGUGAGUGAUGAAGGCCCUAGGGUUGUAAAGCUCUUUCACCGGUGAAGAUAAUGACGGUAACCGGAGAAGAAGCCCCGGCUAACUUCGUGCCAGCAGCCGCGGUAAUACGAAGGGGGCUAGCGUUGUUCGGAUUUACUGGGCGUAAAGCGCACGUAGGCGGACUUUUAAGUCAGGGGUGAAAUCCCGGGGCUCAACCCCGGAACUGCCUUUGAUACUGGAAGUCUUGAGUAUGGUAGAGGUGAGUGGAAUUCCGAGUGUAGAGGUGAAAUUCGUAGAUAUUCGGAGGAACACCAGUGGCGAAGGCGGCUCACUGGACCAUUACUGACGCUGAGGUGCGAAAGCGUGGGGAGCAAACAG